rnacentral:rRNA from 1 species
AUUUUGGAGAGUUUGAUCCUGGCUCAGGAUGAACGUUGGCGGUGUGCCUAAGGUAUGCAAGUCGAACGAUAAGCUCACGCUUGCGUGAGUGGACAGUGGCAAACGGCUGAGUAACGCGUAGGAACUUACCCUUAAGUCAAGGAUAGCCAACCGAAAGGUUGAUUAAUCCUGGAUGUGCUCUUCGGAGUAAAGGCUUCGGUCGCUUAAGGAUAGGCCUGCGUCCUAUCAGGUUGUUGGUGAGGUAACGGCUCCCCAAGCCUAUGACGGGUAACUGGUCUGAGAGGAUGAUCAGUCAGAAUGGGACUGCGACACGGCCCAUACUCCUACGGGAGGCAGCAAUUAGGAAUCUUGCGCAAUGGACGAAAGUCUGACGCAGCGACACCGCGUGGAGGAUGACGGUUUUCGGAUCGUAAACUUCUUUUAUCGGGGAACAAGUUCUGAGUGUACCCGAUGAAUAAGGACCCCCUAACUACGUGCCAGAAGGGUCGGUGAUGCGUA